rnacentral:lncRNA from 1 species
GUGCCAAUUUGAAAGGUGCCAACCAGAACAAAACUCAAUUACACAUAUCUUUUAAUUUCCCGCUAGCUAGGAAUCAAAAUGUAAGAUAUUAGUUAAUAAGGAAUCAUUCAUUUUUAAUCUGUAUGCUGCUAGGGUUGGCACGAAGAUAAAAAUAAAGUAUACAAUACAAUAAUCCAAGUUGAAAUAUAAUCAACAUGUAGAUGUAGCUACUACUUGCAUCCUUCCAUUAUUGAUGCAACAACAUGAAGGUUUUGGAUUCAUAUACCUAUAUAUAUCCAUUAUGAUCUAGAACUAAGAGACUAAUCAAUAAAAAUAACUUAUCCAAUAAACAAUCAAUGUUCUAGAACAAUAAAUAACUAACAUUCGACAACAAUUUUCUUAGUAUAAUGUAACGAUCAAUGAUAAUUUUCCAAAGUUCUCACUUAUAUUUUAAUAUUUUCUGAUACUGAAACCGGCAGCAAAUGAGCAUGCAGCUAUAAGUCAAGGAAUUAUAUAAUUAAUUAUUUGUGAGAUGCCAUUGUGUACGCAAAUGCAAGCAACGCAAGUAAUUGUUAGUGAACUUGGAAGUAUUAUUUGAAAAGAGUUGAAAAGGGCAAAGAUUAUUAAUUAGGUGCAGGCCGUGAUUGGCAGAAAUUAAUUAUAUAUGUGCAGUGCACAGACUUAUCCAGAGAUGGAGAGGUGCACACAAUUAUGUUUAAAUGGAAAAUUUGUCUAAAUCUCUCUUUUGAGAAAUGAGAAAUUAGCUUUGCAUGUGGUGUUUUCUUGUCAUCUUUGAUGGAGAUUUGAAGAGGAUGACUGGGUGGGUUCUUCUCUCAAAUGGAUCUAAAACCACUUUUUAUUUAUCAUGUGAAAAUGAAAUGAAAACAAUGCAGAGACCAUAGAAUUGCAGACGUAUUCUUGAAGCAAGCAAAAGAGCCUAAAAGUUCACAACUUCAUUACAUCAAAAUGUGUGUUUCUUGGAGCUUAAUCGAUAAGUGAAAAAUAGGAUUAAACUAUGAUGCAACGGUUGAAACGUACAACGACUUUUGUUUUUUUUUUUGGUUUAAGUACAGAGCAGUCCUUCAUACUUUUUGUGAAAUUAAAAAAGAAGCAGAGGUUUCAAAUGUUUGCAUAUAAAUCCUGUUUGGAGAUGAUUUGGCAAUUGAAAAGAGUCUUUAACUCAGCCUAACACUCUUAAUUCUUAGAGCGAUGAUGAUUGAUGGCUGAGAAGAACGCAGAGGAGGCAACAAUGACCCAUUAAGUGCUACCUUUCUUUUAUAUUAUACUUUUUUUUUCUUUUUCUUUUUUACUCAGUCGAUAUGAUUUUGUGGGCUAUAUUAGAAAUUCAAAAUGACUCCAUUCAAUUUAAAGGACAAUGUUGGUAUUCUAUAAGUAAGCAAACAUGUUGUAUGAACUAAUAAAUUAUAUGUCAACUAAUAUUAAAAACAAAAAUAUAG